rnacentral:rRNA from 1 species
GGAGGAUCAUUAUUGAAUUUUUGAAGGGGGUUGUAGCUGAUCUUUUAGAUAUGUGCACACCUCUUGUCAUCUAUACACCCACAUGUGCACUUUUGUAGGCUUUUCAAGGCCUAUGUUUGCUUCAUACACACACAUUGUAAAAGAAUGUUAAUUGAUAAAAUUUAAUACAACUUUCAACAACGGAUCUCUUGGCUCUCGCAUCGAUGAAGAACGCAGCGAAAUGCGAUAAGUAAUGUGAAUUGCAGAAUUCAGUGAAUCAUCGAAUCUUUGAACGCACCUUGCGCUCCUUGGUAUUCCGAGGAGCAUGUCUGUUUGAGUGUCAUUAAAUUAUCAACCUCUUUUAAGAGGCUUGGAUUUGGAGUGUUGCUGGCUUUUAUAUGUUGGCUCCUCUUAAAUGCAUUAGCUUGUAGGCUUUGGUUUGAUAAUAUCUAUGCCAUCGCUGUAAUGCAAAAAACCACCUUUUGAAAUUUGACCUCAAAUCAGGUAGGACUACCCGCUGAACUUAAGCAUAUCAAUAAGCGGAGGAAAAGAAAUUAACAAGGAUUCCCCUAGUAACUGCGAGUGAAGCGGGAAAAGCUCAAAUUUAAAAUCUGGCAGUCUUAUAGCUGUCCGAGUUGUAAUCUAGAGAAGUGCUUUCCGCGUUGGACCGUGUACAAGUCUCUUGGAACAGAGCGUCAUAGAGGGUGAGAAUCCCGUCUUUGACACGGACUACCAGUGCUUAUGUGGUGCGCUCUCAAAGAGUCGAGUUGUUUGGGAAUGCAGCUCAAAAUGGGUGGUAAAUUCCAUCUAAAGCUAAAUAUUGGCGAGAGACCGAUAGCGAACAAGUACCGUGAGGGAAAGAUGAAAAGAACUUUGGAAAGAGAGUUAAACAGUACGUGAAAUUGUUGAAAGGGAAACGCUUGAAGUCAGUCACGUUGGUCAGAAAUCAACCCUCCUGGGUGUACUUUCUGGCUUUACGGGUCAGCAUCAAUUUUGAUUGUUGGAUAAAAGUCAAUAUUUAUGCAUUUUCGGAUGUAUAGCCUUUGGUUGCAUACAACAGUUGGGAUUGAGGAACUCAGCAUGCCGCAAGGCCGGAUCACUUUGAUCA